UCAUUAUUGACAAGAGUCAAUGUGGUAUCCUGCUCUUCUCCAGCCAAGGCUGUCCCCAAAACCACAGCUGGACAAUUGGACAUAUGCUUUCCAAGGACUUUGAAUCUGGACAGAUUCAUGCGAAGGAUGGAAAGCUGCAUCGUUGGUGCAGGGCCUCAGCAACGUGGGUUUGGAAAUGGAGAAGCCUGCCGAGAAACCUCAAGAAGCCCCAGCGGGAACCAGCUUACUCCUUACUUCCGGCCCAAGCUCCUCACUUCCGGCCAGGCUCCUCACUUCUGGUCCACUCUCCUGGGGCCUCUCCCUGUGGCAGAGACUCCACCAAGAGCGCCUGGACCAGCCUGGCCUGAUGGUUGGUCUUUCCAGGCAGAUGAGGGGCUGGGCUGGGGCCAGAGGGUGGGGUCCGGUCAUCUGUGCAGGUUCUGGGCUGGGACCCUGGACACAGUGGGUGGUGGACCAGGCCACGUGGUCAAAACGGGCCGGGACCAGGACGGCCGAGGUAAGGGAGCAGUCAGGGGAGGCCGGCCUCAUCUGCGCUUCCGGGUGGCCAGCAGGCUUCCUCUGACAGAGGCUGGCGCAUCAGUCUGAUGCCCCAGAGCACAGACUUGACCUUGUCUUGUUAGGUUUCUCCCAACGGGCUGGAAGUUUCCCAAACGUGAGGCCAUCUUCCCUCUUCAUCUCAUAUCCUCCGCCCUUGGAGUUCGAUCAGUGCUCACUGAGCACCUGCCGGUCCGUGGGCCAGGCCUGCUGGAGAGCAGGCAGGGUGCCAGGUGCUCCCGGGCAUCCUGAAUGGCUAACCGAGCCAGUCUGGGCCCCCCUUGUGCCAGUUAUCAAGCUCGGCCUCCUGGGCCCACAGUGCUGGGUGAAGUGCAUGGCCAUCUUCCGUGCAGCUGGUCAAACAUCCCUGUCCACCUCCUCAUCGCCUUCUGGGAUGUGUGUGGACCAGAAUCGCUCCCUCAGGAUGUUCAGACUGACCCGCCCCCAGGAGGGGUGAACUCCGGCCAUUCCUGGGGAGAAGAAUCCCGCCGUGGGCUGCUCUCACCAGGUUCGGCCAGGCCGUCCUGCUCUCCGGGCCCUGCAGAGGCCUCCCGGCCCCACACAGCCCUCCUGCUCCCCCCACCCCACCCCCUGCAGCCGUCCACCGCCCAGCAGUCUGCUUCUCACGUGUGGAGCUGUGUCUGCAGAACACGAAACAGACCGCUCCGCACCCAGAACAGGGAGCCUGUCAGCUGCAGUGGGAAGGCUGGUGGAAAACUGCCCUGGAAAUGCUAACAGGGCUCGGGGGCACAAGUCACAUAGAUUUCCUAAAGGAAAUCAACCCUGAAUAUUCACUGGAAGGACUGAUGCUAAAGCUGAAGCUCGAAUACUUUGGCCACCUGAUCCCAAGAACUGACUCACAAGAAAAGACCCUGAUGCUGGGAAAGAUUGAAGGUGGGAGAAGGGGACAACAGAUGAGAUAAUUGGAUGGCAUCAUCAACUCAGUGGACGAGAAUUUGAGCAGGCUCCGGGAAAUAGUGAAGGUCAGGGAGGCCUGAUGUGCUGCAGCCCAUGGAGUCACAGAGAGUCGGACAGGACCUGGCGACUGAACAACAAAAGAUGGCAAGAAAACAAAGAAAACUGAAAGAAAGAAGUGCAGAGGUAGGACCUCCACAGGCCAGGGUGGGCUGAAUGCUCUCCAGGUUCCCGGGAGUCCUGCCCCGGGGCGUUCUCGACCAGUCAGAAGCCAGCUGGGCUUCAGUCAGCUCCCACCUCCUCCCCCAUACUCAGGAGCCCUGUUCUAUUUUGAUCAGGAACCCUGCAACCACUGUGAAUCCCUGUGGAAGGGACCUGGGCCCAGCCCCUGAUGGUCCCCCUCCCUCCUGCCCUGAGACCCCCCAGACGAACCCUGAGAUGGGCUGUGGCUGGAGCAGGGCAAGGCCAGGCCAGAAAGAGCAAGGCAUCUGGCAAAGCAAAGGCGUUUGAUGUCAAAGCCUGCUUUGCAGCAGGAAACAAAACUUCACAAGGAUUCAGGGGCCGGCCCCUCAUCUGGCUUCCUUCCUUCCGGGCCCUGGUCUAGAAUAAAGCUCCCCAUCCCCGCA
rnacentral:lncRNA from 1 species